rnacentral:sRNA from 1 species
AAAGAGCGCUUGUGGGUGUCACCUCAAGGUGUGGGUGGUACUGGAAGGGAAGGGAAGGGUUGGUUGUGGCAUGGUGACCUAGAAGAGGUGAGACUCUGUGGGUGGCUUUCUUUGCGCAGAUGUAUCAACCUCCGCCUGCCUGAAGGCUGUGACAAUCCUUGGGUAUGGCAAUAUUGGUACCUUACUUAGCCCGAGUUCUACCCCAUCACAUCUCUUUGGGUAAAAUACGCCACAAUUUCUCAAGGAAUUCUGUACUGACCUGCCAUAUACGUGAGAAUACCUGAAAGAGUUGUCGGGCUCAGUGAUCUCUCCUGUCCCCAUCCACGUCUUGAAGCAUCUUCCACAGGGGCCCUGGUGCCUGGAAAUCAUCACCAGAAGAUGUCAGGAGUGACGGGACACCAGAGGCGGAAGCACCUAUGUCCCCUGGCUACAGCAAAGUUCCCAGACCUAUGAAAACCAUCCAGCCUGCUCUGAGCCACAUGCCUGCAGGUCGCAGAGGCAUGCGGGAAAGUGAGAGGAAGUGGAAACGUGCUACAAGAGGGCUCAAAGCAAUGUGCUCACCACCGGAAAAAAAAAUAAAAAUAAACACACUCAGAAAUAGUGUAACUGAUAUGCAAAGGAGAUCAAAACAAGGUUUAAAAUAUCUUGGCUGAUUUAGAGUUGGUGGGCGUGGUAAGUGAAGUGAGGGUGUAAAUGUGUCAGGGGAGCUGGGUAGCCCUCUGCAGCCUGUCACACUUUGGGAGCCCUGAACCCCAAGGGGACAAUAUGGCAUUUACAAUCUCAAAAACUGAACCAUAGAAGCAAAGAGAAUGGUCAUUCUAGAGGUUAUCGAAGCGAUUUGGUGAGACUGGUAAAAAGAAUGCAGAAUUUCAGUUACACAGAGAAAGUAAAGAAUAUUAUUGCACCUGGUGAGCAGAGUUAAUAUAGGAUAAUAAUAUAAUGUCUUCUUAAAAGAUUGCAAGGAAUUUAUUUUCAGUAUUAUAAAAACGAUAAGGUGAUUCAUACAUUAAUUAGUUUGAUUUAGUCAUUCCAUAAUGUGUAGUGGUAUCAAAACAUCGUGCUGUAUGUCUUUAGUAUGUGGAAUUUAAUUAGUCACUUCAAAGGAUGAAUAAACAUAUAAAGCAAAUGUGGGUGGCAUAAAUUCUUCUGACUAUCUCAGAGGCAGAGAUGGACUCCGGAGCAAGAAACUGGGUGUUCCUGAGCCCCAAACUCCUCCCUCGCAGCCCUCUUGCUCUUCCUGAAGGUUCACCCCAUUUGGAAUCAUGGACAUUUGUUCCAGGGCAGGACAUCAAGGCUCAGACAGGAAAGUGGGGAGGCACCGAGAGUCCACCCAACUAGGCUGAAUUUCAAUGCUCAAGUUCCAGUUUGGAGCAAAUGUUCCUAGGUUAGGGAGUAGGGCUGAAUUAUCUCAGGAAAGACAGACUAGCCAGUCUUGUGAUGAGAAGUCCAUUUUCCUUUAGUGUGUUGCGAAGAAACAAACACACCCACUGUAUUUAUAAAAACAAGAAAUUAGAAAUUGUCUUUUGAGGCUGGCUCCUGGAGUGGGAAACUAAAAGGUUGGUGCUGGUUCUGCUGGUUUUAACCUUCCUAUGCCAAUUUAACCAAACCCAAUAAUAGACCAACCAUUGUGGGCACUUCCAGCAUCAGAAUGGCAUAAGUCAGAAGCAUAGGUGCAAAAGGCAGUGUUUGCUCUCUACAGAUCCGGAAGGCACGCACUGGAGCAGGAUGUGAGACGGAUGCUACAGCAGGUGCCUAACCACCUAUCUUACAAUGUCCUUACAAAGCGCCUCCACCUCUCAUCCUUAGGGCUGGAAUGGCUAAGGCUAAUCACCGGUUUCCAGCUAAAGAAACUGAGGCUCCAUGAAGAAAUGAUCCAAGUUCCUGAAAUGAGAAGCCUAUUCAAGGCUGAUCUUGAGUUGAUAUUGUAAUACGUCAUCACCGUGAGAUGCACAGAAUCAACCCAUUCCUGGCUCACAAAGCCCAGCCUUGGGCAGAGGUGGAAGAGGGCACAUGUCCUGUUUUGCUUCCUGUUCCUAUGAUGAAUACCACGGUUCAGUGCAACUCAGGAAGGGAAAGUGUUUAUUUGGCUUUCUUUUCCCACACUACAGCCAUCGCCUGGAGAAGUCAGGGCAGGAACUCAAGGCAGGACCCUGGGGGCAGAAGCCAUGAAGGAACACUUGCUGAUUGGUGGUUCCCCACAGCUUGGCUGGGUCUGUUUUACUUCCUUUGCUUCUUCCUUUUAUUUUAAUCUCCCCAAAUGACUCAUUUAUUAGAAAGUUGAAUAUAAUAAUAAUAAUA